rnacentral:lncRNA from 1 species
CUGAGAUGUACUUUCAAAUGAAGUCUGGAACUGCAGAUAUAUUUAGCGAGUUGAGACUGGCAAGGGCAGGACGUCAUAGAGAAAAUACAUGGAAUAAAAUGAGAAAAAGAGAAGUGGGGAAAGUGAUAGGGCAGAAAACUCUAAGAAAUUUCUGACAUGCAAGGAAAAGAAAUUUCUGACACAGAGAAAAUACAUGGAAUAAAAUGAGAAAAAGAGAAGUGGGGAAAGUGAUAGGGCAGAAAACUCUAAGAAAUUUCUGACAUACAUGGAAUAAAAUGAGAAAAAGAGAAGUGGGGAAAGUGAUAGGGCAGAAAACUCUAAGAAAUUUCUGACAUGCAAGGAAAAGAUGAAACAAAAAGAGGUAGUGAAAAAGCCUGGGGAUGAGUGUGGGCAAGACAGGUGUUGGGCAAAAAGAGAACCAGAGAGACAAUAACUCACAGGGAUGAGGAAAGAGCGGGUUUCAAGAAGGAAUGAAUGGUUAACACUUGUUAAUUUUCCAAGGUCAAAUAUGUAAGAGCAGAAAGCUGUCCUUUAAGUUCUGAGAACUAAGAGGAGUGGAGUGACCUAAAAAGCGAGUGGUGGGAGCAAAAGUAAGCUGCAGGGACCCAGGAGGAGCAACAGGAGGUGAGGAAGCAGAGAUAUCAACUCCUCCAAGCUGUUCUACCAUAAACAGAAAGAAAGAUACGGGAUUGCAAGAGUGAUGGGCAGAUAAGAUGCAGAGAGUGGGUUCUUUUUUUCUUCCUUUUGUUUUGGAACAGAGGUGGAGGUGGCAGCCUUCCUUUUUCUCAUCAAAAGAAUUGUUAAACAGAGGUUCCCAGAAAGUCUGUGCACAGUGGAGAUGCCGAAUACCAUAAAGUACUGAAAGAAGAAGCAUCAGAUAGUAGAGAGAACAAAGUUGGAACGACCUGGCUUCAAAUCCUGAGUGGCUCCUUUGCUAGCCGUGUGACUGAGCACAUUACUCAGCCUUUGCAAGAGUCAGUUUCCCUGUGGAUAUCCUCAGAACAAAAUAUUCCUCCCAAGUUUAUGGGAAGAUUAAAUAAAUUAAGGUACAUACAGUGCCUAUGGUACCAGCCAAUUAGAGAUGUUUCUCUCCC